rnacentral:lncRNA from 1 species
UAAUCGGAUGUUGCUUUUUGGAUUCAAAUAGACAUGUUAAAACACCAAAGAUAUCUUGCUGGGUUGCCAAUGUCAUUGCCUUGUCGGCUUGUUUUGUAUGUGCCGUGGUCCAAGCUCCAACACCAUGUUCCUGUCAUUCUCCUACCAGAAUUUCAAUACGAAGAGAUUGUCACCAGAUGGUUAUUGUCCACAGUCCCUCUUUCCCCCAUAGGAUAUUCACCAACCAAUGAAAUUGGCCAAAUUUUGGAAUCCUAUCCAUGAUUGAACAAGGCUCGAUCAACCUAUAUUUUUCUUCAGUCAAAAUAGAGCUUUAGUAAGCCCCCAAAAGUGAAACUAACCAAGAAAUUAUAACAAGAGUCGAUACAAAAGCAAACACCAACACAAUAGACACAACACUGUCCAAAGAUAAACCAGCACCCCCUCAACCAGCUUAUAUUCGAGCAAAUAACGAAUUGAAAUGUUCCAUGUAUGGUAAUUAAUCAAGUUAGUUCGUGGGCCAAAAGGAUAUGUUUUGGAGUUGUGGCGUACUUGAUUCUCCUUCAUUCUUCGGCCAUUGACGAUUCUAAAGGUAAGUUCUGUAAAAGUCUCGUAAGGAAUUUAAUCACAAGUUUAUUUAAUAGUUUCAUAGGACAGUUUUCUAUGUUAUCUUUUGAUUUAUUUCGUUUUGUUUAUCUACAUAUCCAAAACAAGUGGGCCUAGAUCCAAAGACAAUACAUACUAGUUGCAAGAUGGCCAAUCAUGCAAUAACUCACAUACUUGUUGAAGUUAAAAUUGUUAAAAAAUAUGGACAUCACAUAUAUAAUAAGGGUAAUUACAUGUUAUUAUUUGCUAUCAUGAUAGGUUAGUCUAAAUUAAAAGUAGUCUAAUUUAGUUAAAGUUUAUUGGGUUUUAAUUAUUAAAUAAAGCAUGGGUCAAAUAUGUGUAGAUACUCUAGUAAUUAAUUUCUAAUUGAUGAUGGGCUAAUUAGAAAUUAGAGCUAAUGUGCCAAAGUUAUAUAUAUUAGGGUUAUGGUCCCUAAAUUACACACAAGCUAACUUUUCUAAUAUCUCAAUCUUUAGAAAAGAGAGAGUCACCUUCUCUAAAUUACUUGUGUACUCAUUUGGAAUAUCAAAACCCCAAGAUCUGUAGAUUUCAAGAAAUCGAUGAAUUCAAGUACACUUUCGCAGCUAGUUUUGUUCUUGAUUUAUUCUUGAUAAAUUUGACAUGAUAGGUCCUGGUUUACAAUUUUAAUUUUAUGUUAGAUAUUAUUUAAAAAUCUAAUAAGCGGUAUCAAAACCCCGUCAUGUUAAAUCAUUGAGAAAGAAUUGGUUCUCUAUUAAUUUGAAUUGAUUCGAUUUUCAGAUUUUAUAGAUCUAAUAUUUCAAUUAUAUACCAAUUCAUAUAUUGAUUUACACUAUUAGUUUAGUUUUUCGUUUGGUACUAUAACAAUUCAAUUGAAAAUUCAAAUGCAGUUUAGGUGAUUUUUUUAUUUUUUUUAUUUUUUGCUUUGAAAAGACGAAGCAAUUUUCUGUUUACAUGGGUUAUCAAUUAAGCAUACGAGUUUUUGUUUUUUUUUGCGGUUUUUUAUUUGAUUAAUCUAUAUAUAUAUUAUUAUAUAAUUUUUAAAUGGGUUAUCAAUUUUUUGAUUUGAUGAUAUGGUUUAUUAUAUGAAUUGUGAGAUAUGCCAAUUAUUAUAAUUUUAUUUUUUAGAUUUAUUUGUUUGAAAAUAUUUUUUAAGUAUUCAUGUGAAUCUUUGUUUAAUUAUAAAUACAACUUUGGAUUUACAUGGUAUAUUCAGGGUAAGUUUUUCUAUUUGAUUAUAAAUACAUGUAUAUGCGUGAAUUGCUUUGGUGUUUUUGUCUAUGCCAAAAUUAUAAAUACAUGUGCUUGUUAAUUAUUUGGCUUUAAACCAUUACAUUAUUUCUAUUUGGUUUUGAUAUAUAUGGUUUUGGGGAAAAAAAAGUAAAAGAUUAAGGUUUUUGAUUUUUUUUAUUGCAUUAUUAAGAUAACCUUAUUUUGGGUUAUUUCGGAGUCUAUAAAGUAAUAAAAAAAUAGUUUUGACAUUUGACUACUGGAGAGAUUUUAAAUUUGAAUAUUGGUAUGUUUAUAUAUAUAUAUUAAAAUAACUUAAUUGAAGCAAUAAAUUACCAAAGUAAUUUUUUUUGUAUAAAUUGUUUCGUUUUAAAAUAUAAAAGGUUGUGUGCAUGUAACUUAAGUUAUGUUAAUAUUGAUUGGUCCAAAUGAAGGUUUAUAAUAUUACAUGAGCAACUAUGGUAAUAAACAUAUGACAAUUAUUCGGUUUUACAUGUGAGCAAUAAAUUAGCCCAAAGGAAGAUUUAUGGUUCGGCAUGUUCUUAUUGUCAAUGUUUGAUUAUUACACCAAGAUAUCACUUACAAGUUAUUAUUUUGUCCAAAGAUGAAAUAUUAAUGGAGUGUCUGAUAUCUUGAGAUGAAGUUUACCUUUAUUCAAAUUAUUUUGAUUUAAAUUUGAAGUCUUAUGUGAAGUUGUUUAUGGUUUAUGAUUUAUUCAACUAUUAUUAUAUUUGUCAACAUCAUUGUAUGUUGUUUUGGGAUAAAUAUAUUUUCAUAUAUAUACUAUUAUAUUUUAAUUUGAUUGAAAGAUGAAAUAUUUUGAAACAAAUAAAUGCAGAUUUUGGCUUUAGGUUUUAAUUAAGGAUGUCUAAUAUUUUAAAUAGAUUAGUUGAAACAAAAUGCCGCCAAAGUGGCCUCUUUUGUGUAGAUUAGUUUAUUUAAAAUAUCUAGAUGAUUAUAUGUUUUUGUGAUUCAUGCGUUUAUUAAUUGACCCAAAGAUAAGUUAAUAUUUGGAAGAAUUUCUACGACAUCUAUAGUGAUAAAUGUGUGACAAUUAUAAGGUAAUUUAUGUGAACAAUAAGUUAGUCCAAAGAUUAAUUCAUUAUUUGACAUAAUUUAUUGUCAAUGUUUGAUUGUUGUAAUAAGAGUAUCGUUUACUGUUAAUAUUACUGUCCAAAGACUUGAUAUUAAUGUUGUAUUUAGUAUCUUGUGAUGCGAUUAGUCAUUAUCUUAAAUUUAUUAUUUACUUAUGAAUAUUUAUUUGAACAUGUUUUUAUUUGUUUUUGUUCUAUAUUCAGCUAGUUCAUCUUCUACUACCACAAUAUCUGCUAAUAUAAAUUUUAUACCCAUGCUUAAUGGGACUAAUUUUAAGAAAUGAAAAAGGCACUUACUUAUAGUGUUUGGUUGUAUGGACAUAGACCUUGCACUAAGGGAAGAACAACUUGCACCUCUCACUGCAAAAAACACCCUUGAUGUUUUGCACCCUUGAUGUUAAGAGGGAUUUUGAGAGAUGGGAUCUUUCAAAUCGCAUGAGUCUAAUGAUCAUGAAACACAACAUUCCAAAAGCCUUUAGGGGCACAGAAUCUGAAAAGAUUACUUAAGCCAAGGGUUUCCUUGGUGAAAUUGAGAAAUGUUUUGCUAAAAAUGAUAAGGUUGAGAUGAAAAUAUUUCUGAACUCUUUGAUGUCUAUAAAGUAUAAAGGUCAAGGAAACAUGAGGGAGUACAUUAUGGUGAUGUUUCAUGUUGCCUCAAGACUUAAGGCACUUAAGAUCGAGCUUUUUGAGGAAUUGUUUUUUUCUUAUGGUUUUGGUAUCGCUUCCUGCAUGGUUUAACCAAAUUAAAAUUGGUUACAUCUGUCAAUAGGAGAAAUGGACUCUGUAACAACCCGAUUUAGGGGCUAGAUGGAACAGUGGUUUCGGGACCACAAAUCUGACAAGGAAAAAAUUUAUUUUAAAAUUAUGACAUGGGUUGCAUUAUGAUAGGAAGGUUGCAUGAAAAUACUGAUAUGGUAAAUAAGGAAAUAAAGUGAUAAAAAGGGUAAUUGAGUUAUGUCAACAUUGGAAAGUAUAUUAUGACAUUGAUCCAAGAAAGGAUUAAAUUGCAAAAGUGAGAAAAGUUUUGUUACCCAAGAGUAAAUACUCAAAAAUUGAGGGGUUAAAGUGUAAAUAUGAAAAGUUAAAGGACCAAUAGUAUAAAUAUUUUAAGGGUGGAAUAAUCUAGAAACUAAGGAAGAUGGAUGAAUUGGGACCAAAUUGAAUAGAUGAAGGAAUUAUGAAGGACUAAAUUGUAAUUUUACCAAAUUAAGUGAUGACUCAAUGAUGAAAUUUUAAAAGAACAUAAAGGGCAAAAUGGUCAAUUAGAAGAGAGAGAAAUCUAGAAGGCAAUGAUGAUGUUGGUGAUAUUUUAGACUAAUUAAUUAAUUAAAUAUUAGUUUAUUAAUAUUUUAAUUUGAUUUUUAUUAUUAUUUUAUUAUUAAUCUAAUUAGUAUAUAUAUGUGGAAAGAAAGAUGAAAAGCAACCAUUCCACCAUCUUUCCAUGCAUUUCACGUUAGAAGGGAAAGGAAGAAAGAAAAUUUUGCUUCCUUUACAAUUUGGUCAUUUUACCAAAACUUUAUCAUUUUCACCUAGAAAUCAAAAGAAUUUUCAUAUCCAUCAAGAGAGAAAGACAACAAGGAGACUAUCGGGAGCUAGAAUAUCAAUUUAGAUUCAAGAAAUAGAAGCUGAAGGAGAGAGAAAAGCAAGUUAAAGAUUGAAAUCAAUAGCACAAGGUAAGAACAUCAAGAUUUUUAUGUACUUUUGAGUUUGAUAUUAUUGAAAAUAGCAUGGAAAAGAUGCUAUAGUAGAGUUUUCUUAUAUAAAGUCUUAUGUUCUUAAUAUAUUAGUGAAGAGAAAUAAGUGAAAGUGAUGGGAAAUAUUAUAGAGAAAGGGAAUAAGGAAGUUAUAAAUUUAGUAAUUAACAUGUUGCACUAAAACAGUUUUGGGCAGCAGCAAUAGGUUAACUUUGAAAAAUCACCAUAAAUUGUGGAAAAGAAAUUAGAGGAUGAAAAAAUAUGAAAUUAAAUCCUAUUGAGUCUAGUUUCUCAUAGAAGAAACAGUGUAAGCAAUAGUAUUGUAAAUUAUGAGAUAUAAUAGGUUUUGUGAGAUAAGGUCAGAAUAAUUUCGGGUUCCCCUGUUUUGACUUUGGAAAAUAAUCAAAAAUUGGAGAAAAAUAAUUAGAGGUUUAAAUUUAUAUGUUUAAAUCCUUAAUGAUUCUAUUUUCAAUAAAAACAAAUGGUAACAUCAUUUGAAUUCUGUAUGAAGAGAUAAUUAAGUUUUAGUGAAGAAGGGUCGGAACUGUCAGACAGCAGAACAGGGAUGACUUUAGAGAAUAAACUGUACUUAUUGGCUAAACCAAAAAUUCUGAAAAUUUUAUGGUAAGAAUAUAUGUGAGUCUAGUUUCAUAGAAAAUUAACAGACCUCAAUUUGGAGUUCUGUAGCUCAAGAUAUAAAUAAUUUAGUGACUAUGACUCAAGUGGACAGCUUUGAAUGAAUAUAAAUACAUGUGAAAUUAUAGAUAAUGUUACAUAUAAGCAUG